rnacentral:lncRNA from 1 species
CAAGGAAUCGCCAUUGCACACAUACAAGCAUUUCCAGGUUCUGUCUCUGAUGGGGACUGUUGAAGAGCCAAGACUCAGAGCACUGGAUGGGAACUUCCUUCGCUAGCCCUGGAAUUACAGUUCUUCGCUCUUGUCUGGCCAGUUAGAUGCAUCUCUCCCAGUGCUGCAGCUGCUGAAGCAUCUGCCAUGAAACAAAGCUCCCAUUUAGAGACUGUGUUUGAAGAUAUGGGAAUUACAAACCAUACUCCCAGUUUGGAUGAAUUAUAGGAAGGCAUAAUGAAUACUUCUCAAUUAGCAAAUCAUCAGUUUAAAUUCUGGUAUCACUGUCUCCUAUUGUUUUCUGUUCCAUU